rnacentral:rRNA from 1 species
UACGUAGGGUGCGAGCGUUGUCCGGAAUUAUUGGGCGUAAAGGGCUCGUAGGCGGUUUGUCGCGUCGGGAGUGAAAUCCACUGGCUUAACUGGUGGCUUGCUUUCGAUACGGGCAGACUGGAGGUAUGCAGGGGAGAACGGAAUUCCUGGUGUAGCGGUGAAAUGCGCAGAUAUCAGGAGGAACACCGGUGGCGAAGGCGGGUCUCUGGGCAGUGAUCCUGACGCUGAG